GACGAACGCUGGUGGCGUGCUUAACACACGCAAGUCGAACGGAAAGGCCCUGCUUUUGUGGGGUGCUCGAGUGGCGAACGGGUGAGUAACACGUGAGUAACCUGCCCUUGACUUUGGGAUAACUUCAGGAAACUGGGGCUAAUACCGGAUAGGAGCUCCUGCUGCAUGGUGGGGGUUGGAAAGUUUCGGCGGUUGGGGAUGGACUCGCGGCUUAUCAGCUUGUUGGUGGGGUAGUGGCUUACCAAGGCUUUGACGGGUAGCCGGCCUGAGAGGGUGACCGGCCACAUUGGGACUGAGAUACGGCCCAGACUCCUACGGGAGGCAGCAGUGGGGAAUAUUGCACAAUGGGCGGAAGCCUGAUGCAGCAACGCCGCGUGCGGGAUGACGGCCUUCGGGUUGUAAACCGCUUUCGCCUGUGACGAAGCGUGAGUGACGGUAAUGGGUAAAGAAGCACCGGCUAACUACGUG
rnacentral:rRNA from 1 species